UGACCUCGGAUCAGGUAGGGAUACCCGCUGAACUUAAGCAUAUCAAUAAGCGGAGGAGAAGAAACCAACCGGGAUUGCCCCAGUAACGGCGAGUGAAGCGGCAACAGCUCAAAUUUGAAAUCCGGCCCCCCGGGGCCCGAGUUGUAAUUUGCAGAGGAUGCUUCGGGUGCGGCGCCGGUCUAAGUUCCUUGGAACGGGACGUCGCAGAGGGUGAGAAUCCCGUAUGUGACCGGCGGCCCAGCCCGGGUGAAGCUCCUUCGACGAGUCGAGUUGUUUGGGAAUGCAGCUCCAAAUGGGUGGUAAAUUCCAUCUAAAGCUAAAUACCGGCCAGAGACCGAUAGCGCACAAGUAGAGUGAUCGAAAGAUGAAAAGCACUUUGGAAAGAGAGUUAAACCGUACGUGAAAUUGUUGAAAGGGAAGCG
rnacentral:ncRNA from 1 species